GACGAACGCUGGCGGCGUGCUUAACACAUGCAAGUCGAACGGAAAGGCCCUGCUUUUGUGGGGUGCUCGAGUGGCGAACGGGUGAGUAACACGUGAGUAACCUGCCCUUGACUUUGGGAUAACUUCAGGAAACUGGGGCUAAUACCGGAUAGGUGCUCCUGCUGCAUGGUGGGGGUUGGAAAGUUUCGGCGGUUGGGGCUGGACUCGCGGCUUAUCAGCUUGUUGGUGGGGUAGUGGCUUACCAAGGCUUUGACGGGUAGCCGGCCUGAGCGGGUGACCGGCCACAUUGGGACUGAGGUACGGCCCAGACACCUACGGGAGGCAGCAGUAGGGAAUAUUGCACAAUGGGCGGAAGCCUGAUGCAGCAACGCCGCGUGCGGGAUAACGGACUUCGGAUUGUAAACCGCUUUCGCCUGUGACGAAGCGUGAGUGACGGUAAUGGGUAAAGAAGCACCGGCUAACUACGUG
rnacentral:rRNA from 1 species